UCCAAGGUAGAAUAAUUGGUAAUUCGCCUCCCUGUUAAGGAGUACGAUGCAGGUUCGAAUCCUGCCCUUGGAGCCA
rnacentral:tRNA from 1 species